GAUAGUGGUAUAGGCAAUCUCUCAAGUAUCCUGUAUAUCUCUCCCAAGCUUGGGGAAGGGUUCCAAUAUCUUUUUGAACAAAUCAAGACAUCUUUUUUCUAAGAAC
rfam:Capsicum annuum cultivar Zunla-1 chromosome 10, whole genome shotgun sequence